rnacentral:rRNA from 1 species
UAGGGAAUAUUAGUAAUGGGCGAAAGCCUGAACUAGCAACGCCGCGUGUGCGAAGAAGGCCUUCGGGUCGUAAAGCACUUUUUGAGAGGAUGAGGAAGGACGGUACUCUCAGAAUAAGUCUCGGCUAACUACGUGCCAGCAGCCGCGGUAACACGUAGGAGGCAAACGUUAUCCGGAUUUACUGGGCGUAAAGCGCGUGUAGGUGGUUUGGUAAGUAGAGCGUGAAAGCUCCUGGCUCAACUGGGAGAGGUCGUUCUAAACUGCCGGACUAGAGGAUGGUAGAGGGAGGUGGAAUUCCGGGUGUAGCGGUGGAAUGCGCAGAUAUCCGGAGGAACACCAGUGGCGAAAGCGGCCUCCUGGACCAUUCCUGACACUCAGACGCGAAAGCUAGGGUAGCAAACG